ACUGUUUCCCAGCCUUUUGGCUGAGAUCAAGUGUAGUAUCUGUUCUUAUCAGUUUAAUAUCUGGUAUGUCCUCAUUCCAAAGACACUAUAUUAAAUGGAUUUUUGGAGCAGGGAGAUGGAAUAAGAGCUUGCUCCAACCUCCACUCACCGACUUGUAUUGCAGUAUCUUCUGUAACCGUGCAUCCCCU